GGCGGAACUUCCGGGCAGAGAGAUCGAUGCAGGGGAAGAAAGCAGAAGUUUGAGCUUUGGGAAGCAGACCUGGAAGGGAACAGACUUCGAUGCAGCUAGUCACGUGGCAGGGAGCGCCUAAGGAACCGAGUUACAAUCCAGACUGGAUGCUCUCACAAACCACCAGCUUCUGCAACUAUUCAUCACCCAAAGGGAGAGAAGGCCAGAGUGAAGAUCAAGUUCUAAUCAGUAAAGAAGCAUCCCGUCCCUUGGAUUUCUAAAGAAGGUGUUUGAUUGAAGUCUGGGAGAAUGGGGACCCUGGGAAUGGGAGAAUAGUCAUCCUGCAAAAGCCCUUGCUGAUCCAGAUGUAGAAUUCCUGUCUCCUCCUCCAGCAUUAUGCCUGUCUGCCUGCUGCCAUGCUUCCCGCCAUGACAACAAAGGACUAGUCUGAACCUGUAAUCCAGCCCUAUUAAACGCUUUCCUUUAAAGAGU